rnacentral:rRNA from 1 species
UACAGAGGGUGCAAGCGUUAUUCGGAAUCACUGGGCGUAAAGAGCUCGUAGGCGGUUAAUUAAGUCAUAUGUGAAAGCCCUGGGCUCAAUCCAGGAAGUGCAUCUGAUACUGAUUGACUGGAGUGCAGGAGAGGAAAGCGGAAUUCCAGGUGUAGCGGUGAAAUGCGUAGAUAUCUGGAGGAACACCGGUGGCGAAGGCGGCAUCCUGGACCGGCAUUGACGCUGAGGCGCGAAAGCUAGGGGAGCAAACGGG